AUUGAACGCUGGCGGCAGGCCUAACACAUGCAAGUCGAACGGUAACAGGAAGCAGCUUGCUGCUUUGCUGACGAGUGGCGGACGGGUGAGUAAUGUCUGGGAAACUGCCUGAUGGAGGGGGAUAACUACUGGAAACGGUAGCUAAUACCGCAUAACGUCGCAAGACCAAAGAGGGGGACCUUAGGGCCUCUUGCCAUCGGAUGUGCCCAGAUGGGAUUAGCUAGUAGGUGGGGUAACGGCUCACCUAGGCGACGAUCCCUAGCUGGUCUGAGAGGAUGACCAGCCACACUGGAACUGAGACACGGUCCAGACUCCUACGGGAGGCAGCAGUGGGGAAUAUUGCACAAUGGGCGCAAGCCUGAUGCAGCCAUGCCGCGUGUAUGAAGAAGGCCUUCGGGUUGCAAAGUACUUUCAGCGGGGAGGAAGGGAGUAAAGUUAAUACCUUUGCUCAUUGACGUUACCCGCAGAAGAAGCACCGGCUAACUCCGUG
rnacentral:rRNA from 1 species